rnacentral:rRNA from 1 species
UUUCUCCUACGGGGGGCAGCAGUGAGGAAUAUUGGUCAAUGGGCGGAAGCCUGAACCAGCCAAGUCGCGUGAGGGAAUAAGGCCCUACGGGUCGUAAACCUCUUUUGCCGGGGAGCAAGGGCGGGGACGUGUCCCGGCCCGGAGAGUACCCGGAGAAAAAGCAUCGGCUAACUCCGUGCCAGCAGCCGCGGUAAUACGGAGGAUGCGAGCGUUAUCCGGAUUUAUUGGGGGUAAAGGGCGCGUAGGCGGGGGCGCAAGUCC